rnacentral:rRNA from 1 species
GACGAACGCUGGCGGCGUGCUUAACACAUGCAAGUCGAACGCUGAAGCUCAGCUUUUGUUGGGUGGAUGAGUGGCGAACGGGUGAGUAACACGUGAGUAACCUGCCCCCUUCUUUGGGAUAACGCCCGGAAACGGGUGCUAAUACUGGAUAUUCACUGGUCUUCGCAUGGGGGUUGGUGGAAAGGGUUUUUCUGGUGGGGGAUGGGCUCGCGGCCUAUCAGCUUGUUGGUGGGGUGAUGGCCUACCAAGGCUUUGACGGGUAGCCGGCCUGGGAGGGUGACCGGUCACAUUGGGACUGAGAGACGGCCCAGACUCCUACGGGAGGCAGCAGUGGGGAAUAUUGCACAAUGGGCGCAAGACUGAUGCAGCGACGCCGCGUGAGGGAUGGAGGCCUUCGGGUUGUGAACCUCUUUCGCUCAUGGUCAAGCCGCAACAAUGGUUGUGGUGAGGGUAGUGGGUAAAGAAGCGCCGGCUAACUACGUG